CCUGGAGUCUGCCACAACAGUGCCCAGCUGAUAUUCUUGGUGAGGUUCAAGCUUUAAUUCCCACAGCAGCAUUAAGCUCAGCAAUCAACAAGGGUGAUUUUAUGUGGCUUAAGAAUUUCACCUGACUCCCAGUUUGAGCCAUCCAACCUGGGCUUCACUGGCUGUCUACUGUUUUUGAGACAAUACUCCUUGGCAGUAUAAAACUAUUUUACCUUCUUCCUCCUGUGAUUUGAUGUUCCAGGUGGCACAGAAGAAGGAAAGGACUGCCACCAUCUGUACUGGCUCUUCACCUGGCAAGUUGCACAUACAGCUUUGGGACUGCUCUGCUGUAUGCCAGCUGGUAAAUACUGAGUGGGGUGAGAAGCAGAACUUUACUUCCAUAAAAAACAUCAGCGUUUCAAAAUCUUUCUACAUUCUGCACUGGAACUAAAAGAAAAUCUUAGAACAAACUAAGGCAAGAACACUCAACAGCAAAUAGACUUGAGAUCUCAACACUUCCUUGAAACUUGUGAGACCAAAUUUUAAAUUAAGCCCAGCAUAGACACUAACCCGAGUUUUAAGUCCUAAGAAAGUAUUUGAACACCAGCUAUCCCAGGAAGACAUAUCUCGAUAAGAGAGUAUGGUUGCUUUUAUAUGGUGCACUUUCUAAAUUUCAUCCAAACCAGAACUCUGAUGAAGCAGUAUCUUUUCCUGACAGAAAAUGUCUGUGCAGAUUUAUUGCUGGUACUCCCAAACCACAACUUAUUGCUUAGUCAUUGCUGCUGAGUACAUUGCAGGAAAUUCACAACUCAUUUGGAUGGUACUGUUUCCUAGACCUUACUGUCAUCAGUUAAAAUGUCCCAGAGGACCUGGACCACUAAAUUAAACUCAGAGUGACAGCAAUGCCAUGAGAACUGACUGGCAACCAAGCUACCUCAAGGUACAUACUGAGGCACCUUACUGCAAGUCUGGAUAGUGUUUACUAAGAUAGCCUUUUGUUUUGUUUUGUUUGUUUGUUUUUGUUUAAAAAAGCCACUUUUGUGAAUCUUUCUAUUCCCAGUCUUUUCUUUUCAUAAAGGGGCUCUGUCAACAAUGCUUUAACCACCUUUUUUUUUUUUUUCCCUCAGUGCAGCAAACUUCAUUGUUAGUUUUCCAGCUGAUCAUGAGACCCAUCAAUAUAAUUAAUGGCAGUUCCAGAAUGCUUUCCGAAUGUGACUGGAAGGAUGAUGCUUCCUCUUUUUUAAAUUGUACCAUAUUGUUAUGCCCUUUCCCUCAAGACUCUUAAGGCAACUGAAGAGGCUCAUUACAAAUUUUUAUUAUUCACUGGGCAGUGGUUUUAAUCCCCCUAUUCCAUCAACAGGUUCAGAUUUCUUUGUCUUGGGGUUUUAAUAAGUUCAUAAAAAUGACAAUAUGCUCUGGUGAGAAAUAUAUCCCACAAGGAAACAAUAACUUCAUUAGCUUCUUAGAAAUCCCAGGUUUGCAAGUCAUGAACAGAGAAAUAUGUAUAUGCCGCAUGGCUGGAGCUCAGUGGUGAACUGUUUUCAAAAUCAAUACACCUGGAAAGGCGAGGAAGAUCCAGAGAAAAAACAAAGUGCUCAGCAGUGUUUAAAGUAAAAUGAAUAAGCACAGAUGACUUUAUAUAAGGAGGCCAACAAGUCUGGGUGUAAGGCAGAAAUGGGAACAAAAUCACUAGAGUAAAUCUUUGGGUAAGGAAAGCUCUCAAAGCUCUCCAGGCUUUGACUAAGAUUUAGUGAUGGAGUUGAGAUGCUUGAUCUCAACGUUCUGUGAACUGACCAGCAGUCCCCAGCUGCUUCCCCCAGUCCAUUCUCCACUUGUCUCUAGCAGCAGGUGAAGAAAUGAAGGAAAAGGAGGUGGGGGCAGGAAGAAGAGGAAGAAUGAAUUCCAAGACAUGAGUCCAGCUUACACAACACUGUCCAUUUGGCGUGAUUAAUGACAGCCUAUCUCCCCACUAGAUCGGUCUGGAUGACUGAAUCACCUUUAACAUGUGCAGCUCUACCUACUCAUCUUUAGGGUGUUUCUGUGACCCCUCAUUAGCUUGGCUGAGCGUCCCUCCUGAGGAGAUCCCCAGUAGCCACUGUGUUUCUGCUGAUGUCCAAUGUACUGGGGCAUCCUAGGCUGCAGGCAUGUCAGCAUGCCUACACUUGCCCCAUGACACUAAUUAUUUUAUUACAAGGUGAAGCAAAGGAUGCUUCACCUGUCUAUAACUGGAGUUUGAGAUACUAAAGAUUUUAUGUCAAAGAGAAGUUUUCUCCCUCUGCUAAAAAAUACUCUUCAAUAAAAUGACACAAAACUUCA
ensembl:lncRNA